rnacentral:rRNA from 1 species
UACGGGGGGAGCAAGCGUUAUCCGGAUUUACUGGGUUUAAAGGGUGCGUAGGUGGGUUGGUAAGUCAGUGGUGAAAUACUUUCGCUUAACGAAGGAACUGCCAUUGAUACUACCAGUCUUGAAUACAGUGGAGGUAGGCGGAAUGCGUCAUGUAGCGGUGAAAUGCUUAGAUAUGACGCAGAACACCAAUUGCGAAGGCAGCUUGCUACACUGUUAUUGACACUGAGGCACGAAAGCGUGGGGAUCAAACAGG